UAGAGUCAUUCCAGUUCCAGGAACCUGCACCUCGGGUUCCAUGAGUGUCUUUCUAGUUUCUUCAAAAGCCAUGGCUAUGACAAGACUUCCUGACUGACUGAUCCCCUGGCCAGAGUGAACAGCAGAGGGAAGAGCAGAAGUGAAUGGAACAGAGCUUCACAGCCCCAGCAAUGGCAUCUCCCUCAGAAGGACAAAAUGCACAGGUCCAAAUGGAGGCCCAGCUCUCUUGGGAUCAGGAGUGUGGAGGUCACCUGCUGGAUGAGCACCCUGCCUUCCUACUUCCUUUCACCAGCACCAUCUUUCUUCUGCCCCUCACACCUAUUUCUGCAGCACUGAAGAGCAGUGGGGAUGAAUCUCACAAAAUGAUGUUGCCCCAAAGAAGCCAAACCCAGGUAAAACCAUAUGAUUCUACUUAUGUUAAAUUCAAAAAUAGGCAAAUCUGUGCUGUAAGAAGGGGCUAGGUAGGGACCCUGAGGGGGCUAGGAGAAUGUGAGAAGGAUAGGGUGCUUCU
rnacentral:lncRNA from 1 species